rnacentral:lncRNA from 1 species
GCUGGCUCCCUGUUCCUGCGGGGUACGGGAGCUCCUGGCGGCACGGACUGUCCGCUGGGUUUGGAUCGCUGUGGUCGCUGUUUGGGAGCCCAGCAGCUCUGCAUUCUGUCAGAAAAUGGCACCCAGCCGUGCUGUCGCGUCAGAGCUGAAGGCCCUGCUUUGAGAAAAGGAGCUUGGAGAAAAGACCUCCAGAGGUCCCUUCCAAGCUGAUCCACUUACUUUGUGAAGAAGCUGUUUGGAAACACAGACCCUACCUGGUGGAUUGUCAGAGUUGCAGAGAGAUGAGCAUAUCUGUGCCUAUGUGCACUGAAAUCUCUGCAAGCUGGACAGUUUUUCUUUCCACAAGGGUUUUUCGCUGCCACUGCUUUGAACCUUCCAGCAAUACACUUCCUGCUUGUCCUGUGUUCUCCAAUUGCCUCACCAAGUGCCUUAUCCUGCUGCAUGUCCUCCACCGGCCCAGCAGUUGGAAAAGCUGGAUGGACUGUGGAAGGAGGCCGUGAGGGGACUCCACAGCCUGCCCCCAGCAGGCUGGGGACAAUGGACAGACUGUCUGCACUUUGCCAGAACUGCUCAGGUCUCUGUUUUCCGAGAGGAGGACACGCAAGGCUACGUUAUGGUACCUGCUUCCAUCAUUUUGGUUCACAGCCUGAAGAGACAAUUGUAUUUGCAGCCUGAGGCAGAAGCAAAAGAAACAGCACAGUUGGUCCACUUGGAAAGGGAGAAAGAGCUUUCCUGAACUUCCAGUGGUAACAGGGCUCACAGUGGGAAGAGAUGGGAUGGAGUUAAGCUGCGGGCUGUAGGACGUGCCUGCAGAAGCACGUGGCAGCACAGAGAGGCUUUUCUCUGCCUCACCUUAGGAGGAGGAGGUGCCACAUGGCAGAGUCCUGCAGAGAGGAGCCUGCUGGAAGCUGACAGAUGAACAGCACAGGAUCACCCCGUAGAAGGAUAUUUAGAAAAUAUGUUGCUGACGUGGCAACGUGGGAUAGGUCACAUAGUGAGAAUUACCAUGUAAGGAAACACUGUGCCUUGAAAAAGUGUGUAAAGCCAGCUCAUUUCUUUGAAUAAAGGAUUCAGAUUCCCUGCCC